rnacentral:rRNA from 1 species
CGGGGAAUAUUGCACAAUGGGCGCAAGCCUGAUGCAGCCAUGCCGCGUGUGUGAAGAAGGCCUUCGGGUUGUAAAGCACUUUCAGCGAGGAGGAAGGUGGUGAGCUUAAUACGCUCAUCAAUUGACGUUACUCGCAGAAGAAGCACCGGCUAACUCCGUGCCAGCAGCCGCGGUAAUACGGAGGGUGCAAGCGUUAAUCGGAAUUACUGGGCGUAAAGCGCACGCAGGCGGUUUGUUAAGUCAGAUGUGAAAUCCCCGGGCUCAACCUGGGAACUGCAUUUGAAACUGGCAAGCUAGAGUCUCGUAGAGGGGGGUAGAAUUCCAGGUGUAGCGGUGAAAUGCGUAGAGAUCUGGAGGAAUACCGGUGGCGAAGGCGGCCCCCUGGACGAAGACUGACGCUCAGGUGCGAAAGCGUGGGGCAGCAAAACAGGAUUAGAUACCCUGGUAG